rnacentral:tRNA from 2 species
GGGGUUGUAGUAUAACUUGGUUAGAAUGGAAGGCUCCAAACCUUCAUAUCAGGGUUCAAAUCCCUGCAACCCCA